AUGAGCUAUCAUGAUAGAGCAGGGGGCGGUACCUUCAGGGGAGAAAGACAACAAGAAUUUGACAAAGAGGCUCAGUUCUACAAAUCCAUUGCAAAAGCACCGAAGAUGGAGUUUCCCAGAUUUGAUGGCUCCAAUCCACAAGAGUGGUUAAGGCUCACAGAGAAAUACUUUGCAAUGGUGUUUGUACCAGAAAGUGCAAAGUUUGACUAUGCUCAGAUGUAUAUCACUGGGAGAGCUGACACUUGGUUGAGGAACUCUGGCAUACUCCAAGAAAACCCCACCUGGAAAGAAUUCUGCAAAGUACUGUGCAAACGAUUUGCUAAUAGCAGCUCUUAUGAAGCAGUAGCUGAUUUCAACUCAAUCAAACAAGGGGCCAGUACUGUAGCAGAGUACACAGACCGAUUUGAAGACAAAAUGGCAUGCUACAAGAAAGAAGACCCUGAAGUAAAAGAGCAGUAUUAUGUCAAAUGCUACAUCAAUGGUUUAAGAGAAGAAAUUAAACACUACCUCAAGCCAUUCAAGCCAGCCACUCUCUAUGAUGCAGUAGACACUGCCAGAGACAUGGAACAUGGACCAAAUGCUUCUAACCAGUCCAGAAAAUACCAGCAAACAGGGUACUAUCAAAAGACCACUGCCACAAAUACCUUACCCACUAAACCAAAACCAAUCGACUAUGCUAACACCAGAAUAGCAGAUAGGCAGAGUACUAGGCCUGAAGUAAAAUACAGAGAACCUGGGAAGUGCAGGUACUAUGGACAAAAGUGGUUUCUUGGACACAAAUGUGCACAAUACAAAACUCUCAAUCUGAUGGCCACAGAAGAAGAAGAAUUAGAGCUAGAUGAACAAAUGCAGAACAGCAACUACCAGCAAGACGAGGAACAACCAGCUACUUCACCAAAUAUUGAUGAGCAACUCAUGCUGAUAUCCAUGCAAGCGGUUAGAGGAAAAAGCACGGCGGCUACCUUCACCAUGUGGGUGGAGAUUGGAGGAAAAAAGGGGCUAGCACUGGUGGACUCAGGAAGCACCAACACCUUUAUGGAUCUAUCCUUUGCAACAACAACUAAAUGCACUAUUGCUAGGAAUGAUUUGCAGACAGUCCAUAUUGCUGGUGGGGGUAAGUUGCAGACAGGAGCCCACAUUCCUUCUGCAAAUUACUCCAUACAAGGCCAUGAGUUCUCCAACAGUUUCAAACUACUCCCACUGAAAGGGUAUGAAAUUAUUUUGGGUUGUGAUUGGCUGUUGGAGCACAGCCCAAUAUCCUUAGACUUUGAUGAGAGGCUGAUGACAAUCAACUGGAAGAGAGAGAAAACAAUUACUCUACAAGAUAAGACAUUUGCCAAGGGAAUCCCUCCAAUCUCCUUACACAAAUUGAUAGCCAGUAAGAAUAAAAUAACAGAAGGAUAUUUCCUAUUUCCGAAGGCCAAGGAUAAAACAGAAACGGCACCAAUAGAAAACUCUGUGAAGGAAGUACUACAAGAAUUCCAGGAUGUGUUUGAAACACCAACGGAACUUCCACCUCAAAGAGGUUUUGACCAUGCAAUCCCUCUCAAAACAGGAUCUGAGCCACCAGCACUCAGACCUUAUAGGGUGCCUCAUCACCAAAAAGAAGAGAUGGAAAAACAGAUCAAACAACUACUAGACGCUUCAAUCAUAAGGCCUAGUGACAGUCCGUAUGCAGCUCCUGCAUUGCUUGUCAAAAAGAAAGAUGGCACCUGGAGGUUGUGCACAGAUUUCAGAAAACUCAAUGACCAAACCAUCAAAAACAAAUUUCCAAUACCAAUCAUUGAAGAUUUGUUGGAUGAAUUGCAUGGGGCCAAAUAUUUUACAAAAAUAGAUCUCAGAUCUGGGUAUUACCAAAUAAGGAUGAAAAAGGAAGACAUACCCAAAACUGCCUUCACUACAUUCUUGGGGCAUUUCGAGUACCUGGUCAUGCCCUUUGGCCUUACUAAUGCACCGGCCACAUUCCAAGCAUUGAUGAAUUUCAUUUUCAAGGAGCACCUCAGGCACUUUGUCCUCGUCUUCUUUGAUGAUAUCUUAAUCUAUAGUAAGACACUGGAAGACCACAUUAGGCACUUGAGGAUAUUGCUACAAAUCUUGAGGGAACAGCAACCAUAUGCUAAAAUGAGCAAAUGUGUGUUUGCUGCUCCCCAACUGGAAUACCUUGGCCAUAUUAUCUCUUAUGCUGGCGUAGCCACCGAUCCUACCAAGGUAUCCACUAUGAGAGAUUGGCCCUUACCAAAAACAAUCACUCAACUGAGAAGUUUCUUGGGCAUGGCUGGGUACUAUAGAAGAUUUGUUCCCAACUAUGGGCUCAUUUGCAGACCACUCCACAACAUCCUCAAGAAGAACUCCUUCCACUGGACAGAGGAGCAAACUGAAGCCUUCAAUUUGCUAAAACAGAAACGAACCACUGCCCCAGUUCUGGCCCUACCAAACUUCAAAGAAAAAUUUGUACUGGAAACUGAUGCUAGUGGGUAUGGUAUAGGUGCAGUACUGAUGCAAAAUGGUAGACCUAUAGCAUAUUUAAGCAAAACACUGGGCAUGAAAGUUGCUGCUAUGUCAACUUAUGAAAAAGAAGCCUUGGCAAUAUUGGAAGCCCUUAAAAAGUGGAGGCACUACUUUCAGGGACUGGAAUUAGUCAUAAAAACUGACCAGAAAAGUCUUAAGUUUAUCACUGAGCAGAAAGUUUCUGAAGGGCUGCAGCACAAACUCCUACUCAAGCUGUUGGAGUUCAAUUACUCCAUUGAAUACAAGAAGGGGCAAGAAAAUAAAGGGGCGAUGCAUUGA
rnacentral:rRNA from 1 species